AUAACAAUGCCUACCCCCCUCUCCCUCUCCCUCUCUCAGUGAUUGUCAUAUCUCUAAGCUACAUCAAAUAGCUCCCACAUCAAUCUCAUAAUCAUCACGCCUCUACUUUCCUCAAUAGUACUACCUCUCUCUCUCUCUCUCUCUCUCUGCGUUUUAAAACACUAAAAUUCUCUUUCUCAAAUGUCUAUAAACCAUUUCUCCACAGACCUUCAAGAAACACUCAGCUGGUGGGCACAGCAACAUCAACAACAACAACCCAUCAUGGAACCAAACCCAAACGCGUCUUCCUCUACACCAAACGAACCCCCAAAUAUUUCAAACCCCAAUUCUUCUUGGCCUCCCCAUCACUCCUGGCUUAACCCUUACAAUACAGCUCAACAACCCUCCUCCAUGUUCCUUCCUCAAAACCCAACGCUCAAUUUCAAUCUCAACGAAGAAGACGAUGAAGAUCAAGACCAUGAACAGCAGCAGCAAGAUGAAACACAACAAGAACAAGAAGUACUAGUACUAGAUAAAGAACCCAUGUUUGAGAAACCCUUAACACCAAGUGAUGUAGGAAAACUAAACCGUUUAGUAAUACCAAAACAACAUGCAGAGAAGUACUUUCCACUUAGUGGUGACUCAGUGGAUAAAGGGUUGUUACUGAGUUUUGAAGACGAGUCCGGCAGGUAUUGGAAGUUCAGGUACUCAUAUUGGAACAGUAGUCAAAGCUAUGUAUUGACUAAAGGGUGGAGUAGAUAUGUGAAAGAGAAACAACUUGAUGCAGGUGAUGUCGUUUUGUUUGAACGACACCGUACGGAUGGUGACAGAUUGUUCAUAGGGUGGAGGAGGAGAGGUGAGAGUGGCAGUAACAGUGGGGUGAUGGUGCAGGGUAGUGGUGGUGGGGUGUGGAGCAGAGGAAUAUUAUAUCCAUCAUCAUCUUCUGGGCCUCAUCAUCUUUCUAGUAGUAAUAUACAACAUGACCUUGGGGCUAAUGUGACAGCUGCUAAUGUGCCAUACCAACCUUACUGUCUCCAUGCAGGGUCCAUUGCACAGAACCAAACAACACCGCUUGGGAACUCAAAGAGACUCAGGUUAUUUGGGGUGAACUUGGAGUGCCAGCUUGAUGGGUCCGAGCCAUCAACACCUGAUGGUUCUUCUGUGUCCAGCCUGCAGGGUCCCGGCCACCCGCAAUUCUACUCUCAAUCUUCUUAUUCUUCAAACAGUACUCAUGGUCAAAUGGAUAUCCCUUUCUCCGGAGAUGUCCACCGGAUGAGAAAUCGCCGAGGAUAAGUUCUGUGGACGUGACAUCCCUGGAUUUGACGUCAUUGAAAACCCCCACCCCCACUUGGAAGUUGGAACUAGAAGAAGAACCAGGAGUGAGUUGACAUGAAACAAGCUAGGAGUAACAAAUUUCGUCAGGGUAGCAAGAACAUGUUCAGUUGCAGAGAAGUAGUGGAAGAGGACAAGGUUCAUAAAAAGUAGUCAAACCUACACAGUUUUAUAAGCACAUGCAAGAGAGAUUUCAAAGGGAAUUUAAUUAUAAGAAUCAUGCUUGUCCAAUGAUUGGAUUACGCAAACAAAGGCAACUAUCUUUUGCUCUCCCACUUAUACAUACACUCGACUCAAAUUUCAGUAUCAAAUUAACAAGAUUUUCUAAGGAUUCAAUUACCUAGAGAAGCUAUCAGAUUUCUACAUCUUGAUUUUUGAGAGGGCUCGGAUUAGAAAUGAGAGAAUUUUUUAUUUUUAUUUUUAUUUUUAUUUUUGUGGAAGUAUAACUUCUUGUUGAGUGAAGUUUACAAGAGAGAAGGGCCAUCCUUGCCUUCGCAUAUAAUCACAAGCUAAGCUUUCUUUAAAGUUA